rnacentral:rRNA from 1 species
CAUACCUAUUCGAAGGGAUAGGGUCGGUUCGGCCGGAUUUUACACAAGUGUUGCAUGGCUGUCGUCAGCUCGUGUCGUGAGAUGUUGGGUUAAGUCCCGCAACGAGCGCAACCCUCAUCCUUAGUUGCUAUCAGGUAAUGCUGAGUACUUUAAGGAAACUGCCAGUGAUAAGCUGGAGGAAGGUGGGGAUGAUGUUAAGUCAUCAUGGCCUUUAUGGAGUGGGCUACACACGUGCUACAAUGGUGUCUACAAUGGGCUGCAAGGUGCGCAAGCCUAAGCUAAUCCCUAAAAGACAUCUCAGUUCGGAUUGUACUCUGCAACUCGAGUACAUGAAGUUGGAAUCGCUAGUAAUCGUGGAUCAGCAUGCCACGGUGAAUACGUUCUCGGGUCUUGUACACACUGCCCGUCACGCCAUGGGAAUUGGUUUCACUCGAAGCU